rnacentral:lncRNA from 1 species
UUUUUAAGUAUAGAGACCAGAGUCUCACUAUGUUGCCUAGGCUGGUCUUGAAAAGUGGGUGAUGAUGACAAGGAUGAUGGUGAGAAUCUGUCCCAUGCCUCUGUCCUAGGGUCUGGUGGAGACGGAGUCACGCUCUGUUGCCCAGUGCAGUGGCACAAUCUCGGCUCACUGCAACUUUUGCCUCCCAGGUUCAAAUUUCUUUUUUUUUUUUUUUUUGAGACAGAGUCUNNNNNNNNNNAGUAUUUCCUACCUGAAUGAUUGCCAGUGUUUAGCCUGGUAAUAG